UUGUGAAAUGAUGGCAAUCACCUUUCAGGACUGACCUUAAAUGAACAGAAUACCCUUGCUGAUCACUU
ensembl:snoRNA